rnacentral:misc_RNA from 1 species
UUUCCGUAGGUGAACCUGCGGAAGGAUCAUUACCGAGUGAGGGCCCUCUGGGUCCGACCUCCCACCCGUGUUUAUCGUACCUUGUUGCUUCGGCGGGCCCGCCUCACGGCCGCCGGGGGGCACCCGCCCCCGGGCCCGCGCCCGCCGAAGACACCAUUGAACGCUGUCUGAAGAUUGCAGUCUGAGCAUCUUAGCUAAAUCAGUUAAAACUUUCAACAACGGAUCUCUUGGUUCCG